rnacentral:rRNA from 2 species
AAAUUGAAGAGUUUGAUCAUGGCUCAGAUUGAACGCUGGCGGCAGGCCUAACACAUGCAAGUCGAACGGUAACAGAAAGCAGCUUGCUGCUUUGCUGACGAGUGGCGGACGGGUGAGUA